rnacentral:lncRNA from 1 species
UGAUUAGUAGGAGUGAUUGUUGAUUGGGGUGAUUAGUGGGAUAAUUUAUAGAGAUAAAAAAUGUGAGUGAUGAAUAGAGGGAUAGAGUGAUUAGUAGGAAUGAUCGGCGAUUGGAAGAUGAUUGGUGGGAUUGGAGGAUGAUUGGUGGGAUAAUUUAUAGGCGGGAGUGAGUUCUAGUUCGAACUAGACUCACAGGCUGUACACUGCCACCAACAUUCAUGCAGGGCCACAUGCAUGC